rnacentral:rRNA from 1 species
AAAAGGCGGCGUAAGCUGUCGCUAAAGGAUGGACCCGCGGUGCAUUAGCUAGUUGGUAAGGUAACGGCUUACCAAGGCGACGAUGCAUAGCCGAGUUGAGAGACUGAUCGGCCACAUUGGGACUGAGACACGGCCCAAACUCCUACGGGAGGCAGCAGUAGGGAAUCUUCCACAAUGGGCGAAAGCCUGAUGGAGCAACGCCGCGUGAGUGAAGAAGGUUUUCGGAUCGUAAAGCUCUGUUGUUGGUGAAGAAGGAUAGAGGUAGUAACUGGCCCCUAUUUGACGGUAAUCAACCAGAAAGUCACGGCUAACUACGUGCCAGCAGCCGCGGUAAUACGUAGGUGGCAAGCGUUGUCCGGAUUUAUUGGGCGUAAAGCGAGCGCAGGCGGAAAGAUAAGUCUGAUGUGAAAGCCCCCGGCUUAACCGAGGAAUUGCAUCGGAAACUGUGUUUCUUGAGUGCAGAAGAGGAGAGUGGAACUCCAUGUGUAGCGGUGGAAUGCGUAGAUAUAUGGAAGAACACCAGUGGCGAAGGCGGCUCUCUGGUCUGUAACUGACGCUGAGGCUCGAAAGCAUGGGUAGCGAACAGGAUUAGAUACCCUGGUAGUCCAUGCCGUAAAUGAUGAGUGCUAAGUGUUGGGAGGUUUCCGCCUCUCA